UACGGGGGGGGCAAGCGUUGUUCGGAAUUACUGGGCGUAAAGGCGCGUAGGCGGCCUGCUAAGUCGGACGUGAAAUCCCCCGGCUCAACCGGGGAACUGCGUCCGAUACUGGUGGGCUCGAAUCCGGGAGAGGGAUGUGGAAUUCCAGGUGUAGCGGUGAAAUGCGUAGAUAUCUGGAGGAACACCGGUGGCGAAGGCGGCAUCCUGGACCAACACUGACGCUGAGUGAGCGAAAGCCAGGGGAGCAAACGGG
rnacentral:rRNA from 1 species